rnacentral:lncRNA from 1 species
CUCGGGUGGUCUUUGAGAUCCCCUCCAACCCAAAGGUUGGGUCUGUGAUCCCAUGAACCCUUCCAGAGCUGAGCCGGGAAGCGAUGAGGGAGGAGGAAAACAGCUUUGUCUUGCAACAAAAAGCCAAGCCAGCAGCACGAGCAUCUGCACGGCGUACACGGACCCACUUGGACACCAGCUGGCAGGGUCAGGAUGCUGCUGAAGCACCCUGAUGGCAACGGAGGGCAGCAGCUGCGGGGCAAUGGGAGCUGCUCAGGGAAGAGCUCACACUGAGGAUGCUGCUCCGGGCAGAUCGAUGCUAAUCCCAUUGCGUGCACUGCAGAGCUGGCAGCAGAGCAGGAGGGCAGCAGGGCCGGCACAUCCCCAGCCCUCAUGGUGCCACUUAUGAGCUCAGGGCGCAGUGCUUCACCCCCAGACUCAGCUUCCCCGUCCCAAAUCCUCCUUUCUGUGCCACCCCCAGAAGGCAGCUCUGCUUUUCCUCCCGCUGGUGAUUAUCCUUUGUGGUUAGGACAGACCAUUGUGUCGGACCACUUUGACUUCCUGCAUCAGGCAGGCCGUGGAGCACCGCGUGGCACUGAGCCUUAUUGUUAGCAUUUAUUACUGCGGAGGGAACGAGCACAGAAAGCACAGC